CACUUUCUUCGGUUUACACUUUACCACUUGAGAGAUUUUCACUCAUAUACAAUCAAAAAACUACCUUCACGGAUUUUUUCAACGGAAAGUUUUGGAAAGGCAUUAUUUUUCAAAUAUAGGAAUGCAGUUUCGUUGACUCUAACCAACUGUUUGAUGUAAUUCUUAACAACACCACAUUUGAUAUGUAAAUCGGGAAGCAUGAUUUUAUUAAGCGCUAUCAAGGGCUCGUGAACUAUAUUGUAUUGACCAAUCGAUUGUUCCUUUCUUUUUGGCCAAUAAAGAGACGCCAUUGUUCGGGUUUAUAGUCAGUAAUUCCCAUUUCAUUCAUCAAACCUGCAACAUCAAUGCAAUACGCCUGAGUGCCAUCUUCCGAUAACUUGAAAUAUGGCAUAAACGGCCGUAGGCCGUUAUUUUUACUCCUGGUGCUAAAACAUUCGCGCUUUUCAGUUCUGAUGCCAAAAUCAUUGCGUUGUUAUGGAAGAGAUUUACAGCCCUAUUCUAAUAAAACCUCACAACUGAGUUGUGAGCAAAACUUUGUGAGGUCUAUUUUGUGAGGUUAUUCUAGCCCACACCUCACAAGAAAAAAGCUCAACAAAAUCACCACACGAGGUGAAAAGCAUUUUGCUGUCUAACAGCUGUUUCUUAAAUAAAAUAAAUACAAAAGAUGGAUGCUGAACAACAGGAAAAGCGAAUUUAAAAAGAAAUAACAAAGCAGGAGUAGCUCCAGUACUUCACACAGUUUGCAAUCCACAACUUGGAGCAAAAGCUUGUAUGGAAAUGAAAUCUUAUGCCUGCUCUAACUCUUCCGAAACUGCCGCAAAAACAAACAAUAACUCCGCCAUUACUGAAUAUACUUUUAGUUAAAAAAAAAAACUUAACACAGACACUGAUAGCGAACGAAAAUUAACACAACAUUAUUCAAUUGCUCAA